rnacentral:rRNA from 1 species
AACAUAUUGUUGUAUUUAAAUGCAGAUAUUGAUGCUGAUGUUAAUGAGGACAAUACGGGAGAGGAAAAUCUGCAGCCUUCACCUGAUGCUCGGAAUGGUGAUGAACAAGAUGAUUCUCUUUUAUCUAUAUAUGAUCCUAGGACAUGGGAUAAUCUUGAUAAUCGGAAAAGGGACAUUUUAAUUGAAAAGGGGCCGGUGAGAGAAUUGGGCCUGGAGUUCCCUGCCCGCCCUGAUGAUGUCGAAGGUAGACGUUUUUCAUAUGCUUACUAUUCCAGAAAAUUAGCUAAUAAAGAGGUUAUGGACAGAAAGUGGUUGGUUUACUCUAAAGAGUUGGACAAAGUUUUUUGUUUUGCCUGCAGGUUGUUCAAAUCAAACCAGAGCAGGUCUUUGCUAGCGCUGAUGGAUGGAUUAAGGGACUGGAAGCGUCUCAGUGGAAGACUCCAAGAACAUGAGAGCAGUGUUGAGCAUUUAACAAACAUGAACACAUGGAAUGAUCUAAGGUUGAGGUUAAGCAAAAAUCAAACAAUUGAUGAUGACAUGCAGCGGGAGAUUGCAAAGGAAAAGGAGCGGUGGAGACAAGUUUUUCUAAGAAUAAUUUCUGUAGUGAAGUUUCUUGCAAAACGUAAUUUGGCAUUUCGAGGAACAAAGGAGAAGUUGUAUGAACAUAAUAAUGGUAAUUUUUUGGGCACGGUUGAAAUGAUUGCUGAAUUCGAUCAUGUGAUGCAAGAACAUAUUAGGCGCAUUCAAAGUAAUGAAAUACAUCAUCAUUAUCUUGGCCACACUAUUCAGAAU